ACACUUGGUAGCUCAGUCGGUAGAGCAUGAGACUCAGUCUCAGGGUUGUGGGUUCAAGCCGCAUGUUGGGCA
rnacentral:tRNA from 1 species